rnacentral:rRNA from 1 species
ACGCUUCUUUUCUACCGAGUGCUUGCACUCAUUUGAAAAGAGGAGUGGCGGACGGGUGAGUAACACGUGGGUAACCUGCCCAUCAGAGGGGGAUAACACUUGGAAACAGGUGCUAAUACCGCAUAGUAGUCGACACCGCAUGGUGUUGAUUUGAAAGACGCUUUCGGGUGUCACUGAUGGAUGGACCCGCGGUGCAUUAGCUAGUUGGUGAGGUAACGGCUCACCAAGGCGAUGAUGCAUAGCCGACCUGAGAGGGUGAUCGGCCACACUGGGACUGAGACACGGCCCAGACUCCUACGGGAGGCAGCAGUAGGGAAUCUUCGGCAAUGGACGAAAGUCUGACCGAGCAACGCCGCGUGAGUGAAGAAGGUUUUCGGAUCGUAAAACUCUGUUGUUAGAGAAGAACAAGUAGGAGAGUAACUGCUCUUACCUUGACGGUAUCUAACCAGAAAGCCACGGCUAACUACGUGCCAGCAGCCGCGGUAAUACGUAGGUGGCAAGCGUUGUCCGGAUUUAUUGGGCGUAAAGCGAGCGCAGGCGGUUUCUUAAGUCUGAUGUGAAAGCCCCCGGCUCAACCGGGGGGGGUCAUUGGAAACUGGGAGACUUGAGUGCAGAAGAGGAGAGUGGAAUUCCAUGUGUAGCGGUGAGAUGCGUAGAUAUAUGGAGGAACACCAGUGGCGAAAGCGACUCUCUGGUCUGUAACUGACGCUGAGGCUCGAAAGCGUGGGGAGCAAACAGAUUAGAUACCCUGGGUAGUCCACGCCGUAACGAUGAGUGCUAAGUGUUGGAGGGUUUCCGCUCUUUCAGUGCUGCAGCAACGCAUUAAAGCACUUCCGCCUGGGGAGUACGA